rnacentral:rRNA from 1 species
CAAAGGCUUGGUCCUGACUUUACUAUCAACUUUAGCUAAACUUACACAUGCAAGUAUCCGCACCCCUGUGAGAAUGCCCUACAGUUCCCUGCCCGGGAACAAGGAGCCGGUAUCAGGCACACUAAUAUAGCCCACGACACCUUGCUUAGCCACACCCCCAAGGGAACUCAGCAGUGAUAGACAUUAAGCCAUAAGUGAAAACUUGACUUAGUCAAAGCUAAGAGGGCCGGUAAAACUCGUGCCAGCCACCGCGGUUAUACGAGAGGCCCAAGCUGAUAGACCCCGGCGUAAAGAGUGGUUAGGGUAAACUUAAAACUAAAGCCGAACACCCUCACAGCUGUUAUACGCACCCGAGAGCAAGAAGCCCAACUACGAAAGUGGCUUUACAACCCCUGAACCCACGAAAGCUAUGACACAAACUGGGAUUAGAUACCCCACUAUG